rnacentral:rRNA from 1 species
AGGAUGAACGCUGGCGGCGUGCCUAAUACAUGCAAGUCGAGCGGUAAGGCCCCUUCGGGGGUACACGAGCGGCGGACGGCUGAGUAACACGUAGGAACGUACCCCAAACUGAGGGAUAAGCACCAGAAAUGGUGUCUAAUACCGCAUGUGAUCUUCGGAUUAAAGCUUCGGCGGUUUGGGAACGGCCUGCGCAUGAUUAGCUUGUUGGUGAGGUAAAAGCUCACCAAGGCGACGAUCAUUAGCUGGUCUGAGAGGAUGAUCAGCCAGACUGGGACUGAGAACGGCCCAGACUCCUACGGGAGGCAGCAGUAGGGAAUUUUCCACAAUGGGCGAAAGCCUGAUGGAGCAACGCCGCGUGCAGGACGAAGGCUUUCGGGUCGUAAACUGCUUUUAUAUGUGACGAUUAUGACGGUAGCAUAUGAAUAAGGAUCGGCUAACUCCGUGCCAGCAGCCG